rnacentral:snoRNA from 1 species
GCGGCAGUGAUGAUCGGCGCAGGGGUACCGACCUCGGCUGGAUUAUGGGAGCCGAGUGCGAGUGUCUCUGUGUAUCCUGCAUGUUGCGGGUGACCUCGGAGCACUCGCAUGAGAACGGAGCCGUGAUCUGAGCCGC